CGGAAAGAAAGCCCGACAUCGGGGUGUCACUAGUCAUGAGCAUCUACUACAAUUAUCCGACAACCUCAAGACCAACAUGGUCGGGGAAAAUCACAAAGUACACUAAGGGAGAAUAAAGAGGGAGAAAAGCAGGGCUGCAAUCGCCAGGCAGCUACCUUGCUAACUCCGAUGAACCUGCUACCGAGCUCAGAAAUACCUGGAUCUGCACAUAUGGUGCAGGGAAUAAUGUGAGUACGCCAACUCAGUAAGUAAUAAAAGUAUAUAAAGAUUGAGUAGUAGGAAACGAUAAAUCCACAUCAUGAUAAACUCAGUAAGCACAACAAGCUUUCAAAUCAGAAUAGGAGUCAAUCAUCUCAUUUAAAAUCCAGCUUUUGGUAAAUAUCAUUUGAAGAUGCUUGCCAACAGUUUCAAUAGAGGUUCAAUACAGUUUAUAGUAAAAGUGAUGAAAAUCAUAAUCGGCCCCUUGGGAAAAAUAUAGUUCGUAUACAGCCCUCAGGCAAACAUAAAUCGUAUACAUCUCAUAACAGAAAAAUCUCAGUGGAAAUAACAAAGCCAAAUCAGUGAUUAAAUUCCGAACAUCUCGUAAAAACUCCAGUUUUAAUGAAAGCUGUUUAAAAGCAUUUGUUCAACAUUUUCAACAGAGGCUUAGUAUAAAGAGGAGUGAAAAUAGUAAUUUCAUAAAAAUAAGCCCCUCGGAGCAAAGCAUCACUCAUAUAUAUAUAUAGCCCCUCGGGCAAGCCUCUUAGUCACUCGAGACUCAACUCUCAUCAAUCAGCGCUCGCACUCACUCACGCUCAAUAGGUACCUUAUAAUAAUUGUUGCGGCGUACAGCCCGAUCCAUAAAUAUAUAUAGUUGACUACGCUCACUGGGGGUGUGCAGACUCAGAAGGGGCUCCUCCAACCCAAGCGCUAUAUCGUUGCGGCGUACAACCCGAUCCAUAUAUAUAUAUCGCGAUGCGGCGUGCAGCCCGAUCCAUAUAUAUAUAUCACGAUGCAGCGUGCAGCCCGAUCCAUAAAUAUAUAAUUCUCACAACCAGGCCCUUGCCCUCUCUCAGUCAUCAACCUCAUAAUCAGGCUCUCGGCCUUUCUCAGUCAUUAACCUCAUGGUCAGGCCCUCGGCCUCUCUCAACCAUCAACCUCACAAGCCACUCGGACUAUCAGUAAAAUAGGGCAUUCGUCCCAAAAUAUCAUUUAUAGUAUCAAACUGAGUAAAUAGAAUGAGUUAUGAAAUCAAUAGAACACAGCAUGACUGAGUACAAAUAUUAAGUCAAAACAGUGAGGACUAAUAGUAAAAAAAGCCCCUAAGGUCCAAACAGUUGGCACGAGGCCAAAUGUGGCAUUCAACUCAAAACAUAAUAAUACUUUCCAAAAUACAAUAGUAUCAGAUAAUUUUCAAUCCAAUACACGACGUAAUAGUCGUACGGGGCGGACCAAGUCACAAUCUCUAAUGGUACACGACCCCACGCUCGUCAUCUAGCAUGUGUGUCACCUCAAAGUAGCAUGACGAUAUGAAAUCUGGGGUUUCAUACCCUCAAAAUAAUAUUUAUAAUCAUUAUUUACCUCAAACCGGACGAAAAUCCUACUCCGUGACGCCUUUGCCUCUCGACUCGGCCUUAACUCGCCUCGAAUCUAUCCAAAAAUCAGAAUCAUAAUAUCAAUAUAUGCUAAAGGAGCAAAGCCCACGCGAAAAUUAUCAAAUUAAACUCAAAAUCCCGAAAUUGGCCAAACCCGACCCUGGAGCCCACGACUCGGAAUCUGAUAAAAAUCACAACACCAGAAUUAUUAUCCUCUCAUAAGUCUAUACAUACCAAAAUCAUCAAAAUCCGACAUCGAAUGCCCAUUCAAAUCCCCAAAAUCAUCUCUCCAAUUCUCUUCCAUUUCUCCCCCAAUUUUCACCCCAAUUUUCCAAUUUAAAUAAUAAAAAUCAAGAUACAAUCAUGGAAUUUAACCAAAAUUAAGUAAAGAACACUUACCCCAAUCACUUCUCUGAAAAUCCCUUCAAAAAUUGCCUUAUGCCGAGCAACCACUUCCAUUUUAUGUUAUGAACUCGGAACCCUCGUUUGAAUCUUAUAAGUCUGCCCAGAUAUGCAUUCAUCGCGAUCGCGGAACAACCAUCGCGAUCGCGAAGAGGAAGAAGAAGAUGCCCCUAAAUAAUCUUAUGCGAUCGCAUAAUACACUUCGCGAUCACGUUAAGCUCCACUGACUAAACUACGCGUUUGCGGAACUGACCUUACGAACGCGAAGAGGUAACCAUGCUCCCUCAGCUCAGACCCAACACUACGCGAACGUGUGCUCACCGUUGCGAACACGAUGCUCCAUCUGCCAAAAGCUACGCGAAUGCAGAGCCAUCUUCGCGAACGUGAAGAAGAAACAAACAACCUCAGGUCUUUCCCUUAAGCGAACGCGUUCAUCUCUCCGCAAUCGCGAUGAAGAGAAAAGACACCAGAUGCAGAAUCAUACGAGCACUGAAAUCAUAGGGAAAAAUAGCUCGAAAUCAAUCCGAAACACGCCUGAGCCCCUCGGGACCCCGUCCAAAUAUACCGACGAGUCCCAUAACAUAACACAGACCUACUCGAGGCCCCAAAACACACAUAACAACAUCGAAACGACGAAUCACACCUCUAAUUCAAAAUUAUUGAACUUUGAAAUUUCAACUUCCACAACCGAUGCCGAAACAUAUCAAAUCACGUCCGAAUGACCUGAAAUUUUGCACACACAUCAGAAAUGACACAAUGGACCUACUCCAAUUUCUAAAUUUCAUUCCGAUCCUGAUAUCAAAAUUUCCACUGUCGACCGAAAAAUGCCAAAUUUCCAAUUUCGCCAAUUCAAGCCUAAAUUUACCACGAACCUCCAAAUCACAUUCUGGAUGCGCUCUUAAGUCCAAAAUUACCUAACGGAGCUAACCAAACUAUAAAACUCCAAAUCCGAGAUCGAAUACUAAAAAUUCAAACUUAUUCAAACCUUUCAAAUUUAAAGCUUCAAACUGAGAAUUGUUCUUCCAAAUCUAUUUCGAUUAUCCUGAAAUCCAAAAUCGACGAUUUACAUAAGUCAUAAUACAUCACCCAGGGCUAGUCAUACCCGAGAACUGGCAAACGAAGUACAAAAGCUCAAAAUGACCGAUCGGAUUGUUACAGAUUCACUCAAAAUUAUAAUGGUUGUAGUAGCUCAUGAUGAUUUAGAACUACAUCAAAUGGAUGUAAAAAUUGCCUUUUUAAAUGGAAAUUUAGAGGAAGAAGUUUAUAUGGAUCAACCAGAGGAGUUUACCAUUAAAGGAAAGGAACAUAUGAUGUGUAAACUUAAGAAAUCAAUAUACUGACUUAAACAAGCUUCCUAACAGUGGUAUCAUAAAUUUAACGAAACGGUUGUCACCUUUGGAUUUAAAGAAAACACUGUUGAUCGGUGUAUAUAUCUGAAGGUCAGUGGGAGUAAGUUUAUUAUGUUAGUCUUGUAUGUUGAUGACAUCUUGCUUGCUACUAAUGAUCUUGGUAUGAUAUAUGACACUAAGAAAUUCUUUUCUAAUAACUUUGAGAUGAAAGAUAUGGGAAAGGCAUCCUAUAUGAUCGGGAUAGAAAUAUUUCGAAAUAGAUCACUAGGAUUAUUGGAAUUGUCUCAGAAAAACUAUAUUAAUAAAGUGUUAGAGAGAUUUAGAAUGAAAAAAUGCUCAUCAAGUCCCGUUCCAAUUCAGAAAGGGGAUAAAUGUAGUCUCAAUCAAUGUCCAAAGAAUGAAUUGGAGCGUAUGCAAAUAAAAGAUAUUCCUUAUGCAUCUAUAGUUGGGAGCAUAAUGUAUGCCCAGACAUGUACAAGAACCAGACAUCAGUUUUGUUGUUGGAAUGCUGGGAAGAUAUCAAAGUAAUCCAAGGAUGGACCACUGGAAGGCUGCAAAGAAAGUGUUGUGUUACUUGCAAGGAACGAAAUAUUAUAUGCUCACUUAUAGAAGAUAUGAUCAUCUUGACGUGAUUGGAUAUUCAAAUUCAGAUUAUGCUGGUUGUAUGGAUACAAGAAAAUCUACAUUUGGUUAUUUGUUCCUGUUAGCCGGAGGAGCAAUAUCAUGGAAGAGUGUGAAGUAGUCUAUCAUAGUUGCGUCCACUAUUGAAGCUGAAUUUGUGGCAUCCUUUGAGGCUACAGUUCAUGCUAAUUGGCUGCGGAACUUUAUUUCAGGACUUGGACUAGUCGACAAUAUUGCCGGGCCGCAAAAAAUUUAUUGUGAUAAUUCCGCAGCAGUCUUCUUCUCUAAGAACGACAAGUAUUCGAAGGGUGCUAAGCAUAUGGAAGUGAAAUACUUUGUCGUUAAAGAAGAAGUCUAGAAACAUAAAGUGUCAAUUGAACAUAUUAGCACUAAACUUAUGAUUGCCGGUCCUUUGACGAAAGGAUUACCGCCCAAAAUAUUUGUUGAACAUGUUGAAAGAAUGGGCAUUCUUAAUAGCAAUGUAUGACAUUAUCUAAAGACUUUAUUAUAUUUAUGAAAUUGACACUUUGAGCUUAUUUAAACAUAUAUUUUUGGUAUUCUAUACCUAUUUUCUCUUGUAUACAUAAUAUUGAGAAUAACGAUGACAGUUUCAGGCUUAGAUAAAGAAUUCUAAGCAUUAACGUUGGACCAAUUAAGUAUUACUUUUACAGGUUGUAUUGGGCAAUAGACUGAUAUUGUAGUACAUGGAAGGGACUAUAUCGAGUAAGUGAUGUACAACCAGGAUGACUCAUAUUAGUUUACUUAUUCAAUAACAACGAGUGAUGUUUCCAAUGAAGGAGAAUUUAAUAUUUUAUUGUGCACAUAAUGAUUGAAAUAUUUAUUAAACCAUUAAGUGAGUAACAUCACGUGCACCAAGUGGGAGAAUGUAAAAUAUGGCCCACGUGAGUAUUUUGGUUUAAUAAAAUAUAUUUUGUUAAAUUAAUAUUUGGAUAAAACUAGGAGAAGUUAAUUAUGGUUAUAACUCCCCCACUAACCCACUUUGACGGAAAGUGGGAAUUAACCGAUGGUCCCUCUCUCUGCCUAUUAAAGGAAGAAUAGCAUAACUCCAUCAUAUUUUAUUCAGAAACGAACACAGAAAAGGUAAAGAGAGAGAAGCAUUGAUUUUCUCAAGAAUAGCAACUCUGAAGAAGACUUCCGCUCAAUACUAUCAAGAAAAUACAGCAUGAAUUCAGGUAAGUUUUCUUGAUUGAAGUUAUUGUAUAUGUAUUUUAUGUGAAAAUCAUAUAGUUCCACGGUUCUGAAUAAUUGAUAGGAUUUUAUAUAGAUUGUUUAUGAAUCACAAUCUAGAAUAGUGAAAAUCCUUACAGAGCCAUCGUAGAGCAAUUGUAACUUGGCAAGUAAGAAGUCAUCAAUGGGGGCAAUUGCACAGAUAGUCAUUCUCAGAGAUGCUAUUUAGAGAUUAGUCAUUACUUAUUUUGUCCUGAAAAUUUGAACCAAAAACUGAAAUUCAAAAUGCACUGGCUAAUUCCUAAAUAUUAGCCCUUUAGAGCGGUUACCUGAUGUAAUUUCUACUCAUGAAAGGAACGAAGGCACAAGCCUUACAAUUAGCUAUCCAACUUUAGCCCAAAAGCUUUUGGAUCAGCCAAGGAAACCUCCCAUGUUAUGGCGCCACCAAGUAUGUAACCAAAACAAAUUUAUUUGAAGGAGUAAAUCAGAUGAACGUGUUUCUAUUCAAUGUUCAGUAUCAUGCAAAGAGAUCGGAUAUGAAUUUUAGCAUACUAGUCUUAAUGUACGUGCAUUGCACGUGUUUAUCGCGUCAAUAAUAAAAUAUUAUUGAUAUCAUGCAAAGAGAUCGGAUAUGAAUUUUAGCAUACUAAUCUUAAUGUACGUGCGUUGCACGUGUUUAUCGCGUCAAUAAUAAAAUAUUGUUGAUAAACAAUAUUUUUCCUCAUAUAGAUAAUAAUUUUAAUCUUAAAUAAUUUUAAACUCCUAAAUAUUAGGACUUAAGGUGUAGUUCAAUUGAAUUGAAUUCUAAUUAGUUAAUUAAAAAAGUAACUAUUUGUUUUCAACAUUAAAAAAAUAAUUCUUUACCUUUUUAGAUUCUUAUAUUAGCUCAUCCCAAUUUUUAAAUAUAAGUGUAAUUAUGAAGGAAAAUAAAAAUAUUCUUUGUAGUAUCAAACUUUUCAAUAGUAAAAAAAAUAAAGAAAAAACAAAAUUAGUAAAGUAAUAAGAAUAUGAGAGAAAACAAUAGCUGAACUCCACAAAAAUGGGGCAAACUACAAGAAGUUGCCGGCGAAAGACUUCGUGCACCAAGCGAUUGAAAGGGAAAAAGAACAAAUAUUUUAUUCAUUUAAUUCAGUUUGGAUCAAAUAAGGAAAUUAAUAUUCUUUAUAAGGUAAAAUUUUAAUUGAUUACAAAAUCUAAAUAUUCGGAUAGUAGCUUAAUUUACUAUUUUGUCCAAUCAUUCUUGUAGUUCGUGACAGCCAUCGUGAACAGGGAUGCUUAUCGGGCGGAUUGGGCGGAUUAUUACGCUUAACGUUUCGGUUUAUCGGUUAUCGAAUUAUAAAUACAGUAAUCCGCUAGCCAUCCAAUAAGACAAUAGGCGGAUUGGUAUCAGAUUAAUGAUUAUCGGGCGGUUUAUCGGCUAAAUCAAAUAAAAAAAAUUUGAACCCUAGUUCUUUUGGUUGCUUAGCCUCUUUCUUGAAUUCCCAAGCCGUGCUCACGGCCACUCUCUGAGAAUGCUAGGUUUAGUACCCAUUCUUUUGUUCUUCACCACAAAAGAAUUAUACACAUAAAGUGCAUUACUAUAGAGAGAGAGGACUCACUGUAGGUGACGGAGGGAUUUAGAUUUGAUAAAUUAGCUGGGAUUUAGGUUUUACUAUUUUAGGCCUUAGGGUUAAAUUACUUUAUAUAAAUAUGGAUAAAAGUAUAAAUAUAAAAAUUCUUAACGAGUUAACGGUUUAUCCGAUAAGGAAAUUGAGUAAUUCACCCCCAAACCGUUAAGUUAUUAAUUAUAAAAUCUCAAUCCGUUCACCAACCGUUACCCCGAUAACCCGAUAACAAUAAGCCAAUAAGCUAUUUUUCGGUUCAGUUAACGAUUACGGUUCGGUUUUGAACAACCCUAAUCCUGAAUGGUAAACUUCUUCUAUUCUUUAUUUGUGCAAUCAUGAUAUUUUUUUUGAAAGGCAUAGUGAUGACCCGGCCAGUCGUCUCAUGAGUUACUGCUCCGUUUUCCCCAUUUCUGCUUCUUUAUGCUUUGUAUAUCCGUGUUAUGUGAUAUCGGGUUGGUCGGAUCGAAUCCGGAAAGAAUUUGGUAAGGUUUGAAACACUUAGUCUCUUUUGAGGGAGCUUAAGUUGGAAAAGUCAACCGAAUGUUGACUUAUGUGUUAGAGGACUCGGAAGUGAAUUCCGAAGGUUUGGUUAGCUUCGGGAGGUGAUUUGUGACUUAGGAGUGUGAUCGGAAUGAGUUUUGGAGGUUCGGAGUAGAUUUAGGCUUGAAUUGGCGAAGUUGAUAUUUUGGCGAUUUCUGGUCGAUUGGCGAGAUUUUGAUAUAGGGGUCGGAAUGGAAUUCCGAGAGUUGCAGUAGUUCUGUUGUGUCAUUUGGGAUGUGUGUGCAAAAUUUCAGGUCAUUCGGACGUGGUUUGACUGGGUUUUUGAUCAAAAGCGUAAUUCGGAAGAUUUUAGAAAGUUUGGCUUGAAUCCGAUGUGUUUUAGGUGAUUUGAUGUUGUUUGAGGUAUUUUGGUGAUUGAAACAAGUUUGAAUAAGGUUUUAGGAUAUGUUGGCGCCUUUGGUUGAGGUCCCAGGGGCCUCGGGUGAGUUUCAGGUGGUCAAUCGGAUCAUUUUAAAGUUGGAAAAAUUGCAGAAGUUGCAGGUUCAGCUGUUGCAGGCUUUUACUCUUCGCGUUCACGAGUGGACCCUCGCGUUCACGAAGAGUCAGUGGGGGUCUGUGGAAGUUUAGCCUUCACGUUCGCGAGGGAGGCUUCGUGUUCGCUAAGGGCUGCAGGCUCGUGCAUCGCGUUCGCGAGAUGUAAGACGUUCGCGUAGGGUCUUUUUGGUCAGCUGGUCUGAGGUCGUGUUUGUUCUUCGCGUUCGCGAGAGAGGGUAUGUGUUCGCGAAGGGUAAGGUUGAGGAACCAUCGCAUUUGUAAUAUCCAUGUAGUGUUCGCAUAGAGGAAAAAUUGGUCAAAGUAAGAUUGUGCUUCGCGAACGCGAGAGUUUGACUGCGUUCGCGAAGAAGGAAACAAGGCCUGGGCAGAAUUUUUUAAACUCGUCUUGUCUGCGAGGAUUGGGUUUAUUUCCUUCAUAGUUGGUCAUUUUAGAAGAUGUUUGAAGGAUAUUGAAUAUGGAUUCAUGGGGAAUCGUUGGGAGGUAAGAUUCUUGGACUUAAAACUCUAUUAUUAUGUGAAUUCCACCUAGAAAAUUAUGGAAAUUAAGUUAAAAAUUGAAGAACUAGGGCUUGGAAAUUUGGACUUUGGAUUGGGAAUUUAGAGGACCAUUUGGGGUCGGAUUUGAGAACUUUUGAUAUGUAUGAAAUCGUGGGAAGAUAAGGAAUCUAUUGGUGUAAAAAUUUCUGAUUUUCAAGGCGUGAACCCAGGGGUCGAGUUUUGGUAAUUUCGGGAUUUGUGCCCUUUGUUGAUUGUUUUCGCUUGGGCUUUGUACCCUUAGCAUAUUUUGACGUCCUCAUUCUGAAUUUUGGAUAGAUUCGAUGCGCGUGGAGGCCGAUUCGAGGGGCAAAGACAUCACGAGCUAGAGAUUUAGCCGUUUCGAGGUGAGUAAUGAUUGUAAAUGAUGUUCUGAGGGUUUGAAACCCCAGAUUGCACAUCGUAGUGCUAUAUUGAGGUAAGACACACGCUUGAUGACGGGCGUGGGGUCAUGCACUAUUGGAGAUUGUGACUUGGUCCGUCCCGGUUGAUGAUUUUACCGUGUAUUUGACUGAAAUUAUUUGUUAUCAUCAUGAUUUGGGCUGAAUGCCAUAUUUGGGCUUCGUGCUAACUAUUUGAACCCUUCGGGGAUUUUUAUUACUAUUUCCUCACUGUUUUGACUUAAUACUUGUACUCAGUCAUGUUAAUUUCCACUAUUUUUCUACUCAGCCAUGUUUACUCAGAUUUUAAGACUUAAAUGAUAUUUUAAAUGAUGUUUGGGCUGAGAAACACUGUUUUACUAUUGCUCGAGAGGCUCGUGAUGAUUUUUGAUUGAGUAAGGUCGGGGGCCUACAUUGUGAGGAAACACUGAUACUGAUUUGCGGUCGAGGGCCUGAGAUAUGUACGCCACGAGGUGGCUUGAUUGAUAUGAGGCCUAGGGCCUAGUUUGAUGCCACGAGAUGGCUUGAUAUUGCACUUGGGCUGUAAGGGGACCCUCCUGGAGUGUGCACACCCUCAGUGAGCGUGGGUACCCAUUGUGAUGUGAGAUUGAGCCCGAGGGGCUGAUAUUGUUCUGAGAUGUUGCUCGAGGGGCGGAAUUGUUGAUACUAUGCCCGAGGGGCGAACUUCUAUUUGCUUACUUUACAUUAUUUACCUGCCAAUUACUUGUUUACUUGUUGAAAAGGGGAUUUUACUUGAUUUUUCACUGGUUUACUGUUUUUAAAAAAUCUUACUGCUUCAUUAUAGAAUGCCUUGUGCCCUACGUGUUUUCUUACUUUCAGUCGUUAUUUACAUUUGUUACUCACUCAGUUGGAGUACUCACUUUAAUCCCUGCACCCCGUAUGUAGAUUCAGGCGUAGCUGGGCCCCAUCCCGAGUGCUGAUUCAUUCCAGCUUCAGGCAGAUCUUCGAGGAGACUUUAGGUAGUUGUUGGCGUUCGCAGCCUGGAGUUCCUCCCUGUCUAUUUCCUUUAUGUUCUUAGUUCAGUAUUUAAAACUCUAUAGUUACAUUUGAGAAAUCAGUAAAGUUAGAUGCUCAUGACUUGUGACACCCCGGUUAGGGCUGUGUUGGGUUGUAUUUCCGCUACUUAUUAUCAUUAAAGCAUGUUUUAGACUGCUUUUAUAUUGUUUAACUGCUUUAACAAGUAAAUUGGGUUUAAUUGAUUGGCCUUGUCUUCACGAGAGGCGCCAUCAUGACCGGGUUCGGGUUAGGGUCGUGACAAGUUGGUAUCAGAGCCUAGGUUACAUAGGUCUCACGAGUCAUGAGCAGGUUUAGUAGAGUCUCGUGGAUCGGUACAGAGACGUCUGUAUUCAUCCUCGAGAGGCAGCAGAACCUUUAGGAAAACUUCAUAUUCUUGAAAUUCUUGUCGUGCGAACUUGUUGAUCCGAGUACUAAACUUCUAUUAUUAUAUUCUCUUACAAAUGGUGAGGACACGCACUACCGAACAGGGUGGACGACCACCAGUGCCACCUGCUGUGGCCACCAGAGGCCGAGGACGCGGCCGUGGUAGGGGUAGAGCAGCUAGAGCAACACCUACAGAUCCACCAGCUGCCCCAGUUUAGGAUCAGGUCCUAGUUAUAGACGCUCCUACAGCACCAGCUCAAGAACCAGCUGUGCCCAUUGUGAUUCCGGUUCUUCAGGAGGCCUUGGCACAGAUCUUAUCAGUUUGCACUGGUCUGGCUCAGGCAGUUUCAGCCACUACAGCCGCAGCUACUUCACAGGCCGGGGGAGGCAAUCAGACUCCCGCCACUCGCACACUUGAGCAGGUAGUGCAGGGACUUCAGACGCUGGGGGCAUAUCCAGCCCAACCGGUUAUAGCUGCUCAGGACUAUGUGGUUCCUGUCAUGCCGGAGGAUGAGCAUCGUAGGUUGGAGAGGUUUGGUAGAUUGCAGCCUCCGACCUUCAGUGGCGUAGAGGGCGAGGAUGACCAGGGCUUUUUGGAUAAGUGUUAGAGAAUGCUUCGUACUGCAUGUAUUCUAGAGACCAGUGGGGUUGCUUUUACCACUUAUCAGUUUUCAGGAGAUGCUUUCACUUGGUGAGAGGAUUUUGAGAGGCGUAGGCCUGUUGGUGCAGCACCCCUUUCCUGGCAGCAGUUCUUCGUUCUCUUCCUGGAGAAGUAUGUGCCGCAGUCCUACAGAGAGGAGCUGCAUAGGCAGUUUGAGUGGUUGUGACAGGGGGAGAUGACCGUGUUGCAGUAUGAGUUGAGGUUCUCUGAGUUGGCUCAUCAUGCCAUCUGGUUGGUUCCGAUAGAUCGAGAGAGGAUCAGUAGAUUUGUUGAUGGUCUUACUUAUCAGCUCCAUAUUCUUAUGACCAGGAAGAGGGUAUCUGGUGCUACGUUCGAGGAGGUUGUUGAUAUCACUCGUGAGAUUGAGUCUGUUCGCCGUCAGGAGCGAGAGGAGAGGGAGGCCAAGAGGCCUCGAGGAUCUGGCAGCUAUAGUGGUACUCCUUCGAGGAGUUAGUUUCAGCACGCCAGAGGCCGUUCAUUCAGGUCUGCUCAGCCAGCUCGCCAGGUUAUCGUGGGGCGUCUUCGGGUCAUGGUCAUCACAAUUCUCAGCAGGUCCAGUCAUCACUAGUGCCCUUCCAGCUCAGAGUUCAUCCCGUGCUCCAUCAGCUCAGGGCUCUUCUAUGUCGAGUGCAUCUGCUAGUCACUUCGGUGCGAGGGGUUCCCUUCAGUCCCCUUCUCCAGCACCUGGGAGUUGUUAUGAGUGUGGCGAGAUAGGCCACAUGUCGAGGUAGUGUCCUCGUCGUGUUGCUAGUUCGUCCCAGCAGAGGGGUCAGUCAUCGGCUUCAGCACCAAUUUAUUCACAACCACCCGCUCAGCCAGCUAGGGGUGGAGGUCAGUCAGCCAAGGGUCGCCCCAGAGGGGGGGUCGGUCAGGGGGCGGUCAGGCCUAUUUCUAUGCACUCCUAGGCAGACCCGAUGCUAUUGCUUUAGAUGUUGUCAUUACAGGUAUUGUCUUCGUUUGCCACAGAGAUGCCUCUAUAUUAUUUGAUCCUGGUUCCAUCUUUUCUUAUGUGUUAUCAUACUUUGCUCAUUAUUUAGGUACGCCCCGUGAGUUUCUUGCUUUACCUGUUCAUGUAUCUACCCCGGUGGGAGAUACUGUUAUCGUAGACCGUGUGUACUGGUUAUCUGUGGUGACUAUUGGGGGUCUGGAGAGCCGAGUGGAUCUAUUGCUAUUGAGCAUGGUGGAUUUUGAUGUCAUUUUGGGCAUGGAUUGGUUAUCUCUGUGUCGUGCUAUUCUUGACUGUCAUACUAAGACAGUCACAUUGGCCAUGUCGGGUGUGCCACGGAUUGAGUGGCGAGGUGUGACUGAUUAUGUUCCUAGUAGAGUGAUCUCUUUCUUGAAGGCCCAGCGUAUGGUUGGGAAGAGUUUUCUUUCACAUAUAGCAUUUGUGAGGGAUGUCGAAGCUGAGACUCCCAAUACUGAUUCUGUUCCAGUUGUGAGGGAUUUUCCCGAUGUGUUUCCUACAGACCUGCCGGGCAUGCCACCAGACAGGGAUAUUGAUUUUGGUAUUGACCUGGUGCCGGGAACUCAGCCCAUUUCUAUUCCGCCGUAUCAUAUGGCACCAGCGGAAUUGAAAGAGUUAAAGGAGCAGCUUUAAGAACUCCUAGAUAAGGGGUUCAUUCGGCCUAGUGCGUCACCUUGGGGUGCGCCAGUUUUAUUUGUGAAGAAGAAGGUUGGCACAAUGAGAAUGUACAUUGACUAUAGGCAAUUGAACAAGGUAACAAUUAAGAACAAGUAUCUUUUGCCUCGCAUUGAUGAUUUAUUCGACCAGCUUCAGGGACCGAGGGUGUUCUCCAAGAUUGAUCUUCGUUCGGGUUAUCACCAGUUGAAGAUAGGGAUUCAGAUAUCCUAAAGAUGGCUUUCAGGACCCGAUAUGGUCAUUAUGAGUUCUUGGUGAUGUCUUUUGGGCUGACCAAUUGUGAGCACGUGAUUUUUGCCUCACAUGGGUUACUCCUACAGAAUUAUAAUAAUCAGGUUUCUUCUUUUAAUUAUUUGUUAUUUUAGGGAUUUUCGUAGGAUUUUUAUUCAAUUAUUUGCAUUUUUGUGCAUGUUUAAGUUUAUUUAAAUUAUGAAAAUACCAAAAAUAUCAUGCAUUGCAUUUAGGAUUUAUUUUUAUAGGAUUAAUUGAUUAAUUAUUUGCUUUAUUAAAAAUAAAAAUCACAAAAUGGUCGAUUUCUACAUUUUUCUUUUUUAUUGAUUUUUCUCUUUUAAUUUAGGAUUAAAGUAGCUUUUAUAAUUUUGUAAUUAAUUAAUUUGUUUUUUUUUUCAUAUUCUAGGUAAUUUAGAAUUUUUAAUUAUUAAGAUUUUUAAUUAAAAAUAAUUUAGAAAAAAAGGGGAAAAAGAGAGAAAAGAAUUUUGAAAGAAAUUGGAGAAAUUAGAUUUUUUGGGUCAAAUUGAUUGAAAUUGCCCAAGCCCAAUUGAAUUCCCCAAAAUACCCGGCCAAACCCAUCAAAAUUCCUUGUCCGAAUCCCCAUCAUAACCAAACAUCCCCAUCGAGGCUGGGCCAGCAACAAGGCCGGAUAAGCUUUAGUGCUACCGGUACGUUGCCCCUUCUUCGGCCCCAGUUGUCCGCUCGGGUAACCCAAGUCUAGACCACAAACCCUAGGUUUUAAACUUAGAAUAACGCAACCUCAUGUCGGAUCUCUAGUAGGAACGAUUAUUUGCAACACGUGCAUUGGACCUUGGGGACUCAACACAGGGGUUGGGUCCGUCUAGGGCAGGUGUACCCAAAAAUCGUGAUGCAUCCUACGUGCUAUGUGAAUAUUUAUUUGUUUCGGCUUGCAUGUUGACCGGUUAAUAAAGAGAAAAACCAAGAGUGGGGUAGGAUAGAGAAUUUACCCAGUUUCUAAAAAUCCCGGUAUUUGACAUAUCCCAAAACUCUGCCGAAUUUUUAAAAAAGAAAAGGAAAAGGAAAACGUAUUUCAAAAGAGUGAGUCAAAUAUCAUAUUUUUAUGACAAAACUGAUCGAACUACGCAGUUCUGAUUCUCACCAGAUGUGGGAUACGUAGGCAACCCACAUAAGGUUCGGCCUUAUUUUUACCAAAUAAUAAAAUAAAAGGUGUUUCAGGGCUUUGGUUAAAACUAUAAAGCCAACCCAGCUUCGGUUUGUUUUUAAGUCAUUUCUUACUGGAAUAGCCUUAAAUUACAUUCCAAUUGUCAAAAGGCUAUUUUUCGGGAGAAACAGGAAAGUUUGUGUAAAAGGUGUCUUUUUCUUUUAAAAUACUUACCCCCGGCCUCAAAAUUCAUUUGGAAUCGUGAAGGGGCCACGUUUUCAAAAACGACCAUUUUGCUAACAUAGCAAUAAAAGGGGUCCUUGUCCGCUGAUUUCUCUUAAAAAGAAAACUUGUUUUUCAAAUAAAGUCCAUAAGAGUCAACCCUAACCUUAACCCUCCACAAGUACAAAUUAAUACCGUCCAGGAACCAUCGCAAAUUGUCAUAGAGAGGGCUCGGAUGCAGCUAUGUAAGUGGUGGGGUGAUUUAGAUGAAGAAGGCCAAGUUUGGGUAAAAGAGCAGUUGGGUCCCCUGGUAGACAUCAUGUACAUCAAGCCACGAGAGGAUUUAAUUAAGGCUUUGGUGACCUUUUAGGAUCCCGUUCAUAAUGUGUUCCGUUUCUCGGAUUUCGAUCUCACACCCACUCUGGAAGAAAUAGCCGGGUACAUCGAUUUCGGCAAGGAGUUAAGGAAGCAGCAACUCAUAUUCCCCAGGGCUCCCUCAGUACACAAAUUCUUCGUUCUUUUGAAAAUUAGCAAACAAAUGAGCAAGGACCGCGCAGGCAAAGGGAGUUGUUUGUUCUACUUCCUGUAUUUCAGGUUUGGGCACUCAGCCGGGUUUGAAACACAUGAGAAGGCGUUGAGUAACAAACAGGACAAGAGCAUAUGGAAAAUUCAUUGACGGUUUGCUUUCAUUGUGGCAUUUUUGGGAAUCACUGUAUUUUCGAAUUCUGAGGGUACAAUAGACCUUCGUAUGGACAGAAUCGCACAGGUCCUUGUCGAUUAAAAAAGAUCACACACUUGUCCCAUUAGUACUGGUGGACAUUUAUCGGGCAUUAACAUUGUGCAAAUCUGGGGGUCAAUUUUUUGAAGGCUGCAAUAUUCUUCUUCAGAUGUGGAUGAUCGAACACCUUCGCCGUCAUCCUAAGUUCAUGAGAUAUGCUUAAGACAGGAACAAUUUCAUCAAAAAGUAUGAGGAAAGGGUGGAGGAUUACAAAACACCGGAAGGGUUUGAAGCAUGGGUUUCCUAUUUGAGAAAUUGAGAGCAGAUCAAAUUGAAUGGACCAUAGGAUGGCUCCCAGUAACAAAAAUCAUCUACAUGACCUCUUCAAAGGGCUACUUGAUGAUGAUGGGAGCAAGAAGUAUACAACCAUAUGCACCACAAAGAGUUCUGAGACAACUAGGAAGAUAUCAGGUGAUACCCGAAAAGGUAGACCUAAGCACUCAAGUCAUUAAACUGCACCCAGAAGCAAUGAUUCCCGAGGCUUUAGUUCAAAGAGACUGGAAUUGUUGUCGGUAUCUAAAAAGUAAUACCCAGGUGCCAGACCCAGCUAAGGGCGAAGUUGAUCCCAAUUAUGUUGCUUGGUUCGAAAAGGGUUUUUAUGUGUACAAUAAGCCGGAGCCCGAACCUGUGAGGCCCGCCAAAAGGCCCCAUGUUCAAGCUUUUGAUGACAAAAUUCAGGAAAGGUUAGACUGGGGAGAAAAGGAAAAGGAAUAUUAGGCCACCAUCCAUGAUCUGCGAGAAGAGUUGAGAAAUGUCACCUUCAAUAAUGAUUUACAGGCACAAGAGGCCGAGGGUGAGAGGAGAAGAUUGGUUCGAGAAAAUGAAACUCUUAGAGCCCAGGUUCGACAGUUGAAAAUAGCAACCGAGAAUCCGGGCCGAAGCAGGAAAGAUGAAAGGCUCAUUUAUAACCUUACUCAAAAGGUGCGUGACUAUGAAGAUGACCUGCAGAAAGCUGAGUCUGAACUAGCAAAAGCACGAACGAGGUUGGCUAAAAAUGCCGAAGGGCGUGCAGCUUUCGUUCAACAGAUGAAAGAAAGAUAUAAAAGAGGGGUCACAAGUUGGGAAAAAACGAUUGGCAACCUCGAAGGUGAAAUGGCUAAACAAGCCAUAAAAUUUAAGGCCGAGAGAGAACAUUGUUACGCCUUAAUGGCACGGUUGGAAGAGGACUUACAGCACUUGCAAGAGCAAAAUCACACUGCCACUCAGGUCUUAGAGGCUAGAUCCCGUCAGAUAUGUCGUUUGUUGCAAGAGAAGGGCAUCAUAAGAGAGAGGGUUCGAAGGAUUGCUGACUACAUCACCAUGAAAUGCAGUGCGUGUGAGGAUAUGACAAGAUCCAUGUUUUUCGCCACUAUAAUGAUCUUCGUCCGUCAGAUAAUGGAAGAACUCUAUCGGCUCCAAGAUGACAUGGCAAGUAGGCCCGCUGCAAGACCGGCUGGUGUUCCUAGGGCAGGCUUGGAGGCACUGAUGUUUUCUUGAUUGUAUUUUCUUCCUUUUUCCGAGUCUGUAUUUUCAUAUUUCGAGUCUAUUUUCAAUUCCUAGAAAAGGCAUGUCCUAAGUCUUAAAGUCCUAGUAAAGGUGUGUUUCGAGUCUUUUUGUAAUUCAGUAAAGUUGUAUUAAUGAAAAUUUGAAAAAGAAAACCACAAAAAUUGUCUUUUUAUUUUUCACAUUUACUUCUUGAACUACGUUAUGAUCUGAUUUGCGCGGCGUCGUGAUACGUAGGCAAUCCUCAUCGGAUUCGGUCAUGUUUUUUGUAAACAAUCUAAAAGAAAAAAAACCAUAAGAAAAACCAAAAAGAAAGAAAAGAGAGUCAAAGAAAAACCAAAAACAGAAAAAGGAGAGAAGGAAAGAGAAGAGAGGAAAAUAAGGAAUAACCGAUGAGGCAAGAAGAGAAAAUUAGGGAAAAUAAGCAAAACUGGGAUGAAACAUGCAACCGUUGUGAAACAUGUAGAAACACAUUUAACUGUAUAGGUGCAUCACACCCCAACGUGCGAUUUCCUAUGUGUUAUUUGUUUCAAACUAACCAAGUUGGUUGUCUACUGUCAAGUCCAGGUUCUAUAGUAAGGUGGUUGGUUUUGUAGUAGUCUGGCUUCACAUCCAUACUUCACGAGGUCGAAGGGUAGCAUUGAAAUGACUUCAGAAAUCACUCUGCCAACAGUUCCUAUCAAGGAUGAGAGUCCGAUCUUGGGCAUCCUGACUUCGGAAUCGAUGGUUGCCGAGGAAAAUAGGUUACUACAUCUCCGCAUGAUGGAAAUAUGGGACGCCUGGUCAAACGGAAGAAAGCCACCAAGUGUAAUCCUCGGAUUUUCCGAGCUUUUUCCUAGGGUAGGUGGAACCUCCAAUAUCCCGAUCAGUCACCCCAAUACCCUACUCGGAUAUCCUACCAUCUAGGCUCACUUUGUUGGAACACCUUCUGAGGUUCGCCCCAGGUGUUAGCUUUAGGAGCGGCUUCAAAUAUUUUCACUGCUCCGCCAUGCUCAGCUUCUACACAGCCUACACUGCCUAGGCCCAGCUUUGACCCAUCAUCCUUCACCUUCCAAACACCAUCUUUCCCACUGGAACCUGUAUAGUUUCCCACCUAUACUUACUCUCAACCACCCCGAUAUGAGUUCACUGCGGGGCAAGAAAAGAUCACCAAAACCCCUGAGCAAAAAGAGAUUGCGAGGAAAAUGAGGAGUAUGGAACAGAGUCUCAAAAGCAUACAAGGCUUGAGUGGACAGAAAAGUGUAUCCUAUGUUGACUUAUGUAUGUUCCCUCAUCUGCAUCUACCAUUGGGAUUCAAAACCCCAAAAUUUGAGAAGUAUGAUGGGCACGGUGAUCCUAUUGCUCAUCUCAACAGAUAUUGCAACCAGCUGCGAGGAGCCAGUGGAAAGGAAGAACUCCUCAUGGCCUAUUUCGGAGAAAGUCUGGUUGGCAUCGCAUCUGAGUUGUACAUGGACCAAGAUAUAUCCCGCUGGCACAUCUGGGAUGAUCUUGCUAGAGAUUUCAUCGGGCAGUUCCAAUACAACAUUGAUAUUGCUCCAUAUAGGAACUCAUUGACAAACUUGAAGAAGAAAUCCUCGAAAAGCUUUCGAGAGUACGUAGUUAAAUGGCGUGAGCAGGCCUCCAGGGUAAAGCCUCCGAUGAACGAGAUUGAAAUGGUCACAGAUUUCCUCCAAGCCCAGAAAGCUGAUUACUUCCAAAAUAUGAUGUCUGCAAUGGGGUAAACCGUUCGCUGAAGCCAUCAAGAUUGGUGAAAUGGUUGAAAAUGGUUUGAAAACAGGUAGAAUUCUAAGCUAAUGCACUAUCAGAGCUACCUCCCAAGCCAUUCAGGGUAGGUCUGGAGGAGUAGCAAAGGGCAAGAAAAAGGAAGAAACAUCCAUGACAGCAUCAGGUGUAAGAAAACACCAUACUUCUAGAUCCCUUUUCUCAGAAAGGACCCCGCAGCACUAUUACCCCCACCAAGAUGUAGCCUAUGCUCCUCAGCCAUACACGGUCAUGAAUGCUCAACCUUAUGUCCGGCCACAACAACAAGCCAACCGGAAUCAAGCUCCAUUUCCUAGAAACUAGCCUCCUUACCAAACCCACUACAACCCCCGGCCUCCACAAAACAAUUUACACCCUCGUGAACCACCCAAGAGGGUAAAAUUCACACCCAUUGGUGAAUCCUAUUCCAGCUUAUUCCCCAAACUUGUUCAGAUGGGUUUGUUGCAGCCCGUUCCCCAAACCAGAUAGAACCCAGCAUCACCCGCUUACAAAGCUGGUACCCGAUGCGCCUAUCACUCAGGGGCAGAAGGGCACAACACGGAUGAUUGCUGGACUCUGAAGAGGGCCGUGGAGAACUUGAUAGAACAAAGGAAUAUAGUGCUAAUGGAUGAAGAUAUUCCCAAUGUGACUAACAACCCACUACCGGCCCACAACAACGGACCGGUAAUCAGAAUGAUUUGUGAGGAUAAGGUAUUUGACCCAGUGUUGAAGGCCAUCAUUGCCAUCGCUGAUGUAGAAAAGAUAUCAAAAGCUGCCCCGAAGUAAGAAAAAGGGGAGAAAAAGAACAAAACGACCCCUCCAAAGUCAGAGAAGAAAAUUGAAGUUGAAACUGGGGCAACACCUCCCAAAGAUGAUGUUCUCUAUGUCCCUCGAGGCCGCAAAGAAAAGCAGAUGACUUUGAGUCCUCCCAGGAGGUUCGAGCUGAACAAAACAACCCAAAUAUAUGUGCCCAAGGGAGCUUAUGUGAUGCGGGGACUAAUUAAUCCACCAAGGCUGAGUGAGCCCGUGGUUAUUGGCCGCGCGCCAUAGAAACCCAUGACAGAUCCUGCCGCUGUGCCAUGGAAUUACAACAAAUCGGUGGUGACCUAUAAGGGAAAAUAAAUCUCAGGAGAAGUUCAAGAAAAUAACCCGGUUGAAAAGUAUUUCAAUUUGGAAUAAAUGAACAAUGCCACUAGAAAGCUUUUCCCAUCUAAGAAGCCCGUGAGUGCCGAAAAAGCGGAGGCCUUCUCUCAAAAGAUGAAAAUGGCGGAUUAUGAGUUGAUCGACCAGCUUCAAAAAUUUCCCGCACAAGUCUCCUUGUUAUCUCUGUUGAUGAACUCCACCGAACAUCAAAAGGUAUUGAUCAAGACCCUUAACAAAGAAUAUGUGACUGUUGAGACUUCUGUAGAGUAGUUGGAGAGAAUGGCCGAAAGAUUUUUCGCAAUCAACCAGAUCUCUUCAGCAAAAAUGACUUGCCCCCAGAAGGGGCCGCACAUAUCAAAGCCCUGCACCUGGCAAUCAAAUGCGAAGGGUGUUAUGUGAAAAGGGUUAUGUUGGACCGAGGCUCUGGGGUAGAUAUUUGCCCACUCUCAACUCUGCCGCGUAUGUAAAUCGGUACCGAAAGAAUCCGACCCAACAACGUCUGUGUACGUGCCUUCGAUGGUAUCAAAAGGGACAUAAUUGGAGAGAUUGAUCUAAUUCUGACCAUCGGCCCAGUAGACUUUGAAGUAACCUUCCAGGUUCUAGACAUGGACACAUCCUACAACUUCCUUUCGGGGAGGCUAUGGAUCCACGCAGCGGGGGAUGUACCCUCUACUCUUCACCAGAUGGUGAAGUUCGAGCACGAGGAUCAAGAGAUUGUGGUUCACGGGGAAGAUGAGCAAUCAAUUUAUCGGGACCCAUCAGCCCCGUGUCUUGAAGCAAGAGAGGGGAGUGAACACAUAGUCUAUCGACCUUUCAAAUCGUGGUCGCUGAUCAGUGCGAAGAAGGAAAACCUUGCCCCAACCCUUCCAUUAUAAUGCAUCAAUCAUAGUGGUCAAAGAAAUGAUCAGGCACGGAUACAAACCUGGGAAAAGUCUCGGGAGAUCGUUGCAAGGAAUAGCUGAACCUAUCACCCUGACCGCCAAUGAAAAGUUCUUUAGGGUAGGCUUCCGACCUACUCCAGCUGAUGUAAGAUGGGCAGAUGAUAGAAAGAGUGAUGGUUGGGUCUUGCCUCAGCCGGUGCUGCAUCUGUACAGAACAUUUGUCAAGCUGAAAUACAAUAAGAAAGAGGAAGAUAAGGCCUUUACAGCCGAAGAAAUCGAAGAAAUCUGUGGGGCCAUGAGGAAGAUACUGUAUGAAGCCCACAUGGUUCAACCAGGGGAAGGCUCAAGCACCGCUGAGGUGUUGUAUAUAGGACCUAAUGCCAAACUGCAGAAUUGGAAGGCUACACCAUUCCCAAUCAGGUGGGAGUCCUGGUAGACCUAUCCUGCCAGUUUUUCUGCAUCACGAGUUAUUCAAGGUGUAACUCGGAUGUUUUCUUUAGUUUUCUGUCUUUUAAUUUCCAUUGUAAACCCUGUUAUCUUCAAAUCCAAUGAAAUGAAAUCAAUAUUUCAUCAUUCAUCGUUCUUUAUUCUUUCUGAUUUUUGUGAUGUUUCUCUUUAUUUCUUCUUUCAGUUCUAAUGAUGCAGGUUUAAAUAACAUGACAUGCUUGUGAACUUCAUGCCCAGAUCCAAACACGCUGUAUAACUAUGAAAUAAUGAACCAAGAACCAGACUAUGAUGAAGAAGAGGCUUUUAAGGAAAUAAAUCAAGAAUUAGAGCAAUUUGAGAAUAAACUUAAGCCAAACUUAAAUGAUACUGAGCCGGUAAAUUUGGGUAAUUCAGAAGAGGUCCAAGAGACCAUGAUAAGCAUUCACGCAAAUGAAAGAACCAGGGAUGCUUUGGUCCAACUUUUGUUUGAGUUCAAAUAUGUGUUUGCUUGGUCAUAUGACGACAUGUCAGGACUGUUGAUUUGGUGGUUCAUAAGUUGCCAACCUACCCUGAUUAUCCCCCUGUUCAGCAAAAGCAGAGAAAGUUUAAAACUGUUAUCAGUGACAAGAUUAAAGAAGAGGUCACAAAACAGUUGAAAGCGGGGAUGAUCCGAGUGGUUCGAUACACCACUUGGUUAGCCAAUGUAGUUCCAGUGUCAAAGAAAAACGGGAAAACUCGAGUGUGUGUGGAUUACAGAGAUCUGAACAAAGCGAGUCCUAAGGACAACUUCCCUUUGCCAAACAUCCACAUCCUCGUUGACAAUUGUGCCAAACAUGAGAUAUAGUCUUUUGUGGAUUGUUAUGUUGGGUAUCAUCAGGUCUUGAUGGACGAGGAAGAUGCGGAGAAGACAACAUUUACAACACCUUGGGGAACCUAUUGCUACAGGGUUAUGCUUUUUGGUCUGAAGAAUGCCGGGGCAACCUACAUGAGGGCCAUGACCACCAUUUUUCAUGAUAUGAUGCACCAAGAGAUAGAGGUGUAUGUGGACAACGUGAUCAUCAAGUCCAAGACCCAGGAUGACCCUGUUCGGGAUUUAAGAAAAUUCUUCGAGCGGCUGCGUUAAUAUGAUCUGAAGCUAAACCCAGCUAAAUGUGCAUUCGGGGUUCCAUCUGGAAAACCUUUGGGAAUCAUAGUCAGUCGGAGGGGCAUCGAGUUAGACCCAACAAAGAUAAAGUCCAUUCGAGAUCUGCCUUCUCCAAGAACCAAGAAAGAUGUUAUGAGUCUGCUCGGAAGAUUGAACUACAUCAGCUGAUUCAUUGCCCAGCUGACAUCUACAUGUGAACCCAUUUUCAAGCCAUUAAAGAAAGACGCAGCAAUUAAAUAGAAAGGCGAGUGCGAAGAAGAUUUUAACAAAAUCAAAGAAUACUUGUCGAACUCGCCAGUAUUGGUCCCGCCUGAACCGGAAAGGCCCCUUUUCUUUUAUAUGAUAGUCUUGGAGAACUCUUUUGGAUGUGUCCUCAGAUAACAUGAUGUGACCAGGAGGAAGGAACAUGCAAUCUACUAUUUGAGCAAAAAGUUCACAAGCUGCGAGACCAAAUAUACCUUGUUGGAGAGAACUUGUUGCGCUUUAACUUGGGUUCCUCAGAAGCUGAGGCAUUACUUGCUAGCCUACACCACCUACCUUAUUACCAUGUUGGACCCUUAAGUACAUAUUCCAGAAACCAAUGCCCAUUGGGAGGUUAGCAAAGUGGCAGAUCUUGCUCACUGAAUUAGACAUAGUCUAUGUCACUCGCACGGCAAUGAAAGCCCAGGCAUUAGCAGAUCACUUGGCUGAAAACCCAAUUGAUGAUGAAUACCAACCUUUGGAUACCUACUUCCCUGAUGAAGAGGUGAAUUCAGUUGAGGCAAUAUCCAAAGACACCAAUGCUUGGAAAAUAUUCUUUGAUGGAGUGGUAAACGUAAAAGGCGUUGGAAUUGGGGCAAUUUUGAUCUCACCCACUGGCCAACAUUAUCCAGCCACAGCCAGGCUUUGGUUUUUCUGCACAAACAACACUGCCAAGUAUAAAGCUUGCAUUAUGGGUAUGAACAUGGCAAUCGACCUAGAUGUCGAAGAACUAUUAAUCAUGAGAGACUCAGAUUUGAUUAUCCGACAAGCUCAAGGAGAAUGGAAAACCUGAGAUGUCAAGCUUAUUACUUAUAAGCAACAUGUGGAAGAACUUGGCAAGCGAUUCAAGUCGAUAGAGUUCAGGUACAUCCCUCGUUGCCACAAUGAACUAGCUGAUGCACUUGCCACUUUGGCCUCGAUGCUGCCAUACCCAGGCAAUGCCCACAUUGAUUCCUUGGAAAUCCAAAUCAGGGAAAGGCAUGGCUACUGUAAUACGGUUGAGGCAGAACCAAAUGUUCAGCCCUGGUAUCAUGACAUCAAAAGAUUUUUGAAAACCAAAGAAUACCCCGAGCAAGCCAGUGGAGACCAAAAGAGAACCAUUAGAUGGCACGCAAGUGGUUUCUUCUUGAGCGGUUAUGUCUUGUUCAAAAGGACUUCAGAUCUCAACUUGUUAAGAUGUGUUGAUGCCGUAAAAGGCUAGAAGAAUCAUGUAUGAAGUGCACGUAGGGGUGUGCGGACCCCACAUGAACAAGUAUGUUUUGACAAAGAAAAUCCUUCGAGCGGGCUAUUACUGGAUGACCAUGGAAAAAGACUGCUUCAGUUUUGUUCGGAAAUGUCAUCAGUGUUAGGUGCACGGAGAUUUGAUUCAUGCACCUCCCACAGAACUGCAUCCCAUGUCAGCGCCUUGGCCAUUUGUUGCUUGGUGCAUUGACGUUAUUGGGCCAAUCGAUCCAAAAGCCUCAAAUGGGCACAGAUUCAUAUUGGUUGCCAUCGACUAUUUCACGAAAUGGGUUGAAGCAAUCACUCUCAAAUCUGUCACUAAGAAAGUUGUGGUAGAUUUCGUGCACUCCAAUCUUAUCUGUCGUUUUGUCAUUCCUGCAACUAUUAUCAUAGAUAAUGUUGCAAACUUGAAUAGUCAUUUGAUGGGGGAGAUAUGCGAACAAUUCAAGAUAACGCAUCGGAAUUCUACUCCCUAUCACCCUAAAGCCAAUGGUGCCGUCGAAGCAGCAAACAAGAACAUCAAAAAAAAAUUGAGAAAGAUGAUCCAAAGUUCCAGGCAGUGGCAUGAAAAGUUGCCUUUUGCAUUGUUGGGAUAUAGCACUACGGUGCGCACAUCGAUCGGAGCAACCCUGUAUCUUUUGGUUUAUGGAACUGAAGUUGUAAUAUCCAUGGAGGUUGAAAUCCCUUCUCUCCGGAUCAUUGUGGAAGCUGAAAUUGAAGACAGUGAGUGGGUCAAAACCCGUUUGGAACAACUGACCCUGAUCGAUGAAAAGCGGAUGGCCGCAGUUUGCCACGGGUAGUUGUAUCAACAAAGAAUGGCCUGUGCUUACAACAAGAAAGUGAGGCCUAGAAAUUUUGAAGUGGGACAACUCAUUCUAAGGUGUAUUCUUCCCCAUCAUCAGGAAGCAAAAGGGAAAUUUGCUCCCAAUUAGAAAGGCCCAUACAUCAUCAGGAAGAUAUUGCCCAGAGGAGCAUUGUAUAUGGGAGACAUUGAAAGAAAUGAUCCCGAAGUAGCUAUAAAUGCAGAUGCAGUCAAAAGGUACUAUGUCUAAUCUUUCUGCGGUGACAACAUUGCCCUAUCGGGAUGACGAAGGCUUUCAUUCUCGCUAAACACUCCAAUCCUUUGCUAACCCAUUGAGUUGUUUACUUUUCUUUCAUUACCCUCUUUGGAACUCGAAGAUAUUUGAUUAAAAAAACAAAAUGUUUUACUGAACUACGUUCGACUUGAUUCCGAAAGGAUACGUAGGCAGCCUCUCUCUGGGGUUCAGUCACACCAAAAUAAAAAUUCAAAGUUCCCCAAAAAGUGAAAUUGGGGCAGAUUUUAUAAUGGUUCGGUGAUGAUCCCGCCUGAACGGUUCCAAAGUUGUAAUUUAAUCCAAAUUCUUUUACCCCAAACCUUGUUCAAGUCCUUCCGAUCAGUCGGCAAAGGGUUUUCAAAAUCGGAGAAUGCAGUUGUUUGGAUCCGAUGCAAUCAAAAUGAGAGAAAUAAAAUGAGAGAGUCUUAUUGGUGAAAACCCACCCGGGCACCAUGAGGCGAUGGUAAGCAGAGAAAUGAAAAACGAGAGAGUCUUGUUAGUGAAAACUCGUAAAGAGCACUAUAAGGCGACGGUGAGAAGAGAAAUGAAAGAGGUCGAUUGACGAAAACCCACAAAGGGCGCCGUUGAUAGAAAAUAAAGAACCUCUCACCACCACUGAUACUGAAAGGGUCCUUGCAAGGUUCCUCGGUUUAAAAAUACGAGUCGCAAUGGGUAUGCAAGAAGUCGGAUUAGUUGCGCGGAUCAGGUAUCUAGUCCUAGAAGCAUGUCAUGUCUAUUGAAGUCUGCAUGCACCCCAGAUAAGUCCGUUUCUUAUUCCCCGAAAGGGACACUUCUCCUCAAAUUCAUUUUCCUGUCCUUUGUUUACUUUUCCUUGAAUCCCUUUCGGUCUAACUUUGUUCCAAAGCUAAUGGAAAGAAAAGGUGGCAAUAUUGGUUUUACAGGGUUCUGCUUAAUAAAAACCAAGUCCAAAUAAAAGUACCCAGCCUCAGCGGGUACAUCAAGUCGAUUCUGACUGGCCAUGAUAACUGAUGCUUUAAAAUCGGAGUCUAUUGAAAAUGAAAAGAAAUCCCAAGUCAAAGCCCCUAGAGGCAGAAUAAAAUGAAAGGCCAAAGCCUAUAAGCCGUCAUGAGAAAUUUUGAAAAGCUGAGCUCCUAGGUUUUAGGAUAGAUAUCAAUCUUCAGAAAAGCCAACAAGAAGUAGAGGUUCCAACCAAAAGAGUUGAGCCAAGAUCAAGUGAUCAAAAACGAUAAAGGCCACAAAACCAACCACCGUUUCAGACUAACAAUUGUUCUUUGUUUGAAAAGUUGAAACAAGUGCAACCCAAAGCAACCGUGCGAGAAGCAGGUGCAACCGAAAGGGAAAAGAUGCGCAAGAGCUAGAAACAGCUUACCGCAACAACCACUUCAAAUAAGGGAAGUUCACUCCAAGUUUCUUUCCCGCAUUAUAUUAAAAAAUGAAAAUUAAAAAACAAAUGUUAGCUUGGGACUUCCAACCUCAAUCUUUUACGCUUUUACCAACAUUAGGGCUCCAAUCCCUGAGUUGAGAUUUUUUUAGACAUAGGGCCUCCAUUCCCUAGUCGCAUUUUACCAACAUUAGGGCUCCGAUCCCUGAGUUGAGAGUUUUUAGACAUAGAGCCUCCAUUCCCUAGUUGCCUUCUACCAACAUUAGGGCUCCAAUCCCUAAGUUGAGAUUUUUAGACAUAGGGUNNNNNNNNNNNNNNNNNNNNNNNNNGCCCNCAACCCUUCCUUUCUUUUGCAUCAAUCAUGGUGGACAAAGAAAUGAUCAGGCACGGCUACAAACCUAGGAAAAGGCUUGGUAAAUCGUUGUAAGGAAUAGCUGAACCUAUUACUCUGACCGCCAGUGAAAAGUUCUUUGGGGUAGGCUUCCGACCUACUCCAACUGAUGUAAGAUGGGCAGAUGAUAGAAAGAAUGAUGGUUGGGUCUUGCCUUAGCCGGUGCCGCAUCUGUACAGAACAUUUGUCAAGCCAAAAUACAAUGAGGAAGAGGAAGAUAAGGCCUUUACGACCAGAGAAAUCGAAGAAAUCUGUGAGGCCAUGAGGAAGAUACCGUAUGAAGCCCACAUGGUUCAAACAGGGGAAGGCUCAAGCACCGCUGAGGUGCUGUAUAUGGGACCUAAUGCCAAACUGCAAAAUUGGAAGGCUAUGAGGCAGGAGUCCCGGUAGACCUGUCCUGCCACUUUUUCUGCAUCACGAGUUAUUCCAGGGUGUAACUCGAAUGUUUUCUUUAGUUUCAUGUCUUUUAAUGUAAACCCUGUUAUCUUCAAAUUCAAUGAAAUGAAAUCAAUAUUUCAUCGUCCAUCUUUAUUUAUUCUUUCUAAUUUGGUUAUUUUUCUCUUUUAUUUCUUUUUUCAGUUCUAAUAAUGCGGCUUUAAAUAACAUGACAUGCUUGCGGACUUCAUGCCCAGAUCCAAACACGCUGUCUAACUGUGAGAUAAUGAACCAAGAAAUCAGGGAAACCAAGAUAAGCAUUCACACAGAUGGAAAAACCUGGGACGCAUUAAUCCAACUCCUGUUUGAGUUCAAAGAUGUGUUUGCUUGGUCAUAUGAUGACAUUCCAGGACUAAGUGUUGAUUUGGUGGUUCAUAAGUUGCCGACUAACCCCCUGUCCAGCAAAAGCAAAGAAAGUUUAAAACUGACAUCAGUGACCAGAUCAAAGAAGAAGUCACGAAAUAGCUGAAAGCGGGGGUGAUCCGAGUAGUUCGGUAUACCACAUGGCUAGCUAAUAUAGUUCCAGUGCCAAAGAAAGAUAGGAAGACCCGAGUGUGUGUGGAUUACAGGGAUCUAAACAAGGCAAGUCCCAAAGAUAACUUCCCUUUGCCGAACAUCCACAUCCUUGUUGAUAACUGCGCCAAACAUGAGAUACAGUCCUUCAUGGAUUGUUACAUAGGAUAUCACCAGGUGUUGAUGGAUUAAUAAGAUGCAGAAAAAAUAGCUUUUACCACACCUUGGGGUACAUACUGUUACAGAGUCAUGCCAUUUGGUCUGAAGAACACCGGGGCAACCUACAUGAGGGCCAUGACUACCAUUUUUCAUGAUAUGAUGAACCAAGAGAUAGAGGUGUAUGUGGACGAUGUAAUCAUCAAAUCCAAAACCCAGGAUGACCACGUUCGGGACUUGAGAAAAUUCUUUGAGCGGUUGCGCAAAUAUGAUUUGAAGCUGAACCCAGCCAAAUGUGCAUUUGGGGUACCAUCCGGCAAACUCUUAGGAUUCGUAGUCAGUCGGAGGGGCAUCGAGUUGGACCCAACAAAGAUAAAGUCUAUUCGAGAUUUGCCUCCUCCAAGAACCAAGAAAGAUGUUAUGAGUUUGUUGGGAAGAUUGAACUACAUCAGCCGAUUCAUUGCUCAGUUGACAUCCAUAUGUGAACCCAUAUUCAAAUUGCUGAAGAAAGAUGCGGCAAUCAAAUGGACAAACAAGUGCCAAGAAGAUUUUGAUAAAAUCAAAGAAUAUUUGUUGAAUCCACCAGUAUUGGUCCCACCUGAGCUAGGGAGGCCUCUGUUCUUGUAUAUGACAGUCUUGGAAAAUUCUUUCGGUUGUGUCCUCGGGCAACAUGAUGUGACCGGAAAGAAAGAGCAGGCCAUUCACUAUUUAAGCAAGAAGUUUACCAGUUAUGAAGCCAAGUACACUUUACUGGAAAGAACUUGUUGCGCUUUAAAUUGGGUCGCUCAGAAGCUGAGGCAUUAUUUGCAAGCCUACACCACUUACUUCAUAACCAGGUUGGAUCCUUUAAAAUACAUAUUUCAGAAACCAAUGCCCACUGAGAGAUUAGCAAAGUGGCAGAUCUUGCUCACGGAGUUUGACAUAGUCUACAUUACUCGCACGACAAUGAAAGCCCAGGCGUUAGCAGAUCAUUUGGCUGAGAACCCGGUUUAUGAUGAAUACCAACCUUUAAGCACUUACUUCCCAGAUGAAGAGAUAAAUUCAGUUGAGGCAAUAUCUGAAGACACCCGUGCUUGGAAAAUGUUCUUUGAUGGGGCAGUAAACGCAAAAGGCGUUGGAGUUGGGGCAAUCUUGAUCUCACCCACCGGCCAGCAUUAUCCAGCCACAUGCCGGCUUCGGUUUUUUUGCACAAACAACACCGCCGAGUAUGAAGCCUACAUUAUGGGUAUGAACAUGGCAAUUGACCAAGAUGUCGAAGAAUUGAUAAUCAUGGGAGACUCAGAUUUAAUUAUCCGACAAGCUUAAGGAGAAUAGGAAACCCGAGAUGUCAAGAUUAUUCCUUAUAGGCAACAUGUGGAAGAUAUUGGCAAGCGAUUUAAGUCAAUAGAGUUCAGGUACAUCCCUCGCUGUCACAAUGAAUUAGUUGAUGCACUUGCUACUUUGGCCUCGAUGCUGCCAUACCCAGGCAAUGCCUACAUUGAUCCUUUGGAAAUCCAAAUUCGGGAAAGGCAUGGUUAUUGCAAUAUGGUUGAGGCAAAACCAAAUAUUCAGCCAUGGUAUCAUGACAUCAAGAGAUUUCUGAAAACUAAAGAAUACCCUGAGCAAGCCAGCGGAGACCAAAAGAGAACCAUUAGAUGUCACGCAAGUGGUUUCUUCUUGAGGGGUGAUAUUUUGUACAAAAAUCCUCCGAGCGGGCUAUUAUUGGAUGACCAUGGAAAAGGACUGUUUUAGCUUUGUUCGGAAGUGUCAUCAGUGUCAGGUGCACGGGGAUCUGAUUCAUGCACUGCCCACAGAACUGCAUCCCAUGUUAGUGCCUUGGCCAUUCAUUGCCUGGGGCAUGGACGUCAUUGGGCCAAUCGAGACAAAAGCCUCAAAUGGGCAUAGAUUCAUAUUGGUCGCCAUCGACUAUUUCACGAAGUGGGUUAAAGUAAUUACUCUCAAAUCUGUCACCAAGAAAGCUGUGGUAGACUUCAUGCACUCUAACCUCAUCUACCAUUUUGGUAUUCCUGCAACUAUCAUUACAGAUAAUGCUGCAAAUUUGAAUAGUCAUUUGAUGAGGGAGAUAUGCGAACAGUUCAAGAUAACACAUCAGAACUCUAACCCUUAUUGUCCCAAAGCCAACGGUGCCGUUGAAGUAGCAAAUAAGAACAUCAAAAAGAUUUUGAGAAAGAUGAUUCAAAGUUCCAGGCAGUGGCAUGAAAAGUUGCCGUUUGCAUUAUUGGGGUAUCACACUAUUGUGCGCACAUCGGUCGAAACAACCCCGUACCUUUUGGUUUAUGGCACCGAAGCCGUAAUACCCGCGGAAGUUGAAAUACCUUCUCUUCGGAUCAUUGUGGAUGCUGAAAUUGAAGACAGUGAGUGGGUCAAAGCCUGUCUGGAACAGUUAACCCUAAUUGAUAAAAAGCUAAUGGCCGCAGUCUACCACGGGCAGUUGUACCAACAAAGAAUAGCCCGUGCCUACAACAAGAAAGUACGACCCAGAAAUUUUGAAGUAGGACAACUUGUUUUAAGGCAUAUUCUUCCUCAUCAUCAGGAAGCAAAAGGAAAAUUUGCUCCUAACUGGAAAGGCCCAUACAUUAUCCGAAAGAUAUUACCAAGAGGAGCGUUAUAUCUGGGAGAUAUUGAAGGAAACAACCCCGAGGCAGUUGUGAACGUAGACGCGGUCAAAAGGUACUAUGUCUAGUCCUUCUGCAGCAAUAGCACUAUCCGAUUGGUAUGACAAAAGCUUUCAUUCUCGCUACCCCAAACACUCCAAUCCUUUUGCUAACCCUUUGAGUCGGUUACUUUUCUUUCAUUACCCUCUUUGGAACUCGAAAAAAAAAUGUUUCCCUGAACUACGUUCGACUUGAUUCCGAAAGGAUACGUAGGCAGCCUCUCUCUAGGGUUCAGUCACACCAAAUAAAAAAUCCAAAGUCCCCCAAAAGCAAAACUGGGGCAGAAUUUAUAAUAGUUCGACGAUGAUCCCACCAGAACAGUUCCAAAGUUGUAAUUCCGUCCAGAUUCUUUUUACCCAAACCUUGUUCAAAGUCCUUCCGAUCAAUCGGCAAAAGGUUUUCAAAAACAAAGAACACAGUUGUUUGGAUUUGAUGCAAUCAAGAUGAGAGAAAUAAAAUGAGAGAGUCUUAUUGGUGAAAACCUAUGGGCACCGUAAGGAGAUGGUGAGCAGAGAAAUUGAAAAUACGAGAGUCUUGUUAGUGAAAACUCGUAAAAGAGCACUAUAAGGCGAUGGUAAGAAGAGAAAUGAGAGAGGCCGAUUGGCGAAAACCCGCAAAGGGCGCCGUUGAUCGAAAAGAAGAAACCCCUCACCACCAUUGGUAUUGAAAGAGUCUUGGCAAGGUUCCUCGAUUUUGAAACACGGGUUUCAAUGGGUUUAUGAGAAGUUGGGAUAGUUGUGCGGAUCGGGCAUCCAGUCCAAGAAGCUUGUCAUGUCUAUUGAAAUCUGCAUGCACCCCAGAUAAGUCCGUUCUUUCUCCCCGAAAGGGACACUUCUCCUUAAACUCAUUUUCUUGUCCUUUGUUUACUUUUCCUUGAAUCCCUUUCAGUCUAACUCUGUUUCCGAAACUAAUACAAAGAAAAGGUGGCAAGAUUGGCUUUACAGGGUUUUGCCUAUAGCUAAAGAAAAGUACCCAUCCUCAGCGGGUGCAUCAAGUCGAUACCGACUGGCCAUGAUGGCUGAUUCUCUGAAAUGAAAGUUAUUGAAAAGGAAAAGAAAGCCAAAGGCAAAAGCCUAAAGGUGGAAUAAAGUGAAAGGGUCGAAGCCCCACGCGGGCAAGCCGUCAUGAAAUCUUAAAAGUUGAGUCCCUCGGUUUGAAAGAUAGAUCAAUCUUCAGAAAACCACCAAGCAGUAGAGGUUCUCAACAAAGGUUCGGGCCGAGAUUGAGACAACCAAGACCACAAAACCAACCACCAUUUUAAACAAACAAUUGUUCUUUGUUUAAAAUUGAAACAGGUGAAGCCCAAGGCAACCGUGCAAAAGCAGGUGCAACCCAAAAGAAAAGCGGCGCAAAAGCUAGAAAUAGCUUCGCAGUAACAAUCAACCCAAAAAGGAAGUUUUCCUCCAAAAUUCUUUCCUGCAUCUUAUUGAAAUAAAAUGAAAUGAAAAAGGAAAAAAAAAAUAGAAGAAAAAGAAGAAAAUCCAAACAAAUUGAUAGUUCAAAAUUCCCAAUCUCAAUCUUUUACGCCUUUGCCAACAUUAGGGCUCCAAUCCCUGAGUUGAGAUUUUAGACAUAGGGCCUCCAUUCCCUAGUUGCCUUUUCUUUGCCAACAUUAGGGCUCCAAUCCCUGAGUUGAGAUUUUUAGACAUAGGGCCUCCGUUCCCUAGUCGCCUUUUCUUUGCCAACAUUAGGGCUCCAAUCCCUGAGUUGAGAUUUUUAGACAUAGGGCCUCCAUUCCCUAGUCGCCUUUUGCUAAUAUUAGGGCUCCAAUCCGUAAGUUGAGAUUUUUAGACAUAGGAUCCCCAUUCCCUAGUCGCCUUUUGACAACAUUAGGGCUCCAAUCCCUGAGUUGAGAUUUUUAGACAUAGGGCCUCCAUUCCCUAGUCGUCUUUCUUCCAACAUUCGGGCUCCAACCCUGAGUUGAGAAUUUUAGACAUAGGGCCUCCAUUCCCUAGUCGCCUUUUUGCCAACAUAGGGCUCCAAUACCUAAGUUCAGAUUAUAGACAUAGGGCCUCCAUUCCCUAGUCGCCUUUUGUCAACAUUAGGGCUCCAAUCCCUAAGUCGAGAUUUUUAGACAUAGGAUCCACAUUCCCUAGUCGCCUUUUGCUAAUAUUAGGGCUCCAAUCCUUGAGUUGAGAAUUUUUUUGAUAUAGGGCUUUAUUCCCUAAUCUCUUCCUCCUGAAGGCACACAAUCCUUACGUUAUCGCUUUCCAAAAAAAAGUUAGUUACAAAUAACUCACGAAAUUUUCCUAGUGUAAACUGGGGCAGAAUAUUUCGUUCGUCUGUUUGUUUUGGUGUUUGAGCAGGUUUUACCUUGAGGAACGGGGUUCGAGAUGACCAACAGAAUGAGUCUCAAUCCAGAACAAAGAAAAGAAGAAAAAGAACAAAAAAAUAAAGAAGUAAACUCAAAGGUUGAAACGGAGAGGGAUGCGAACUGCUCAAGAUAUGAUUGAAGUCACAAGCCUCGCAUGUCCCGCCUUGAUCCAGAGCUGAAGAAAGAACUAGUGCCUACAGCUGACAAGCAUCAAGAUUCAAAUCGGAGUCCACAGCGAAAACCAUCCAAGACUCAAGAUCAAGCUUCGAAAGAUUUAUAGAUAGGAAUUUUGUAGCUCGUAGUUGAUAGGCUUAGCUAGUUUAGCUUUUUACUUUCCAUUUUGGUGUAAUAAGGAGUUCAGCAAGCAGUAGCAGCAACAACAACAACAGUGAGAUCACAGCUUCCCGGUAGUCCCAGCUACCAAAACUUUCAGAACUAUACUGACCUGAUUCCUCUAUAGCCAAGGAUAUGUAGGCAACCUUUGAAGUAAGGUUCGGUCAGAUUCUUUUCAAAAAAUGCUUCUCAUGGAGUUUCAAACGGGCAAAAAUCCCUCAUAAUUGCUCAUUUUAUCUUUUCCCAAAAACCCUUCGUUCUCCGAACAAAGAGGGGCAGCUGUGAGCACGUGAUUUUUGCCCCACAUGGGUUACUCUUACAGAAUUCCAAUAAUCAGGUUUCUUCUUUUAAUUAUUUGUUAUUUUAGGGAUUUUUGUAGGAUUUUUAUUCAAUUAUUUGCAUUUUUGUGCAUGUUUAAGUUUAUUUAAAUUAUGAAAAUACCAAAAAUAUCAUGCAUUGCAUUUAGGAUUUAUUUUUAUAGGAUUAAUUAAUUAAUUAUUUAUUUUAUUAAAAAUAAAAACCACAAAAAUGGCUGAUUUCUACAUUUUUCCUUUUUAUUGAUUUUUCUCUUUUAAUUUAGGAUUAAAGUAGCUUUUACAAUUUUGUAAUUAAUUAAUUUGUUUAAUUUUUUUUCAUAUUCUAGGUAAUUUAGAAUUUUUAAUUGUUAGGAUUUUUAAUUAAAAAAAUUAGAAAAAAAAGGGGAAAAGAGAGAAAAGAAUUUUGAAAGAAAUUGGAGAAAUUAGAUUUUUGGGCCAAAUUGAUUGAAAUUGCCCAAGCCCAAUUGAAUUCCCCAAAAUACCCGGCCAAACCCAUCAAAAUACUCGGCCCAAACUGACUAACCCGGUCCAAAUCCCUACCAUAACCAAACGACCCCGUUUUGGUAUCAUCUCAUCACAGUCGUUAGAUUCUCAUCAUCCAACGGCUCGGAACUACUUUGUACUUAGCUAUAUUAGUGUCCGAAAAGACUGAUCACCCCCCCCCAUCAGACCCCUCUCACUUCGUCUCCCCCUCUCUCCACGACCAAACCCUAGCCGCCAUGAAACCCUUUUCAUCUUCGCCACAAACCACCUAUCGGAAAUCGCCUCACGGCGGUUCCGGUGGUCCAAACACCCUGAAAAUAACACCAUAGACUCCCCUCCAUCUCCUCCUCCCAAAUCUCCAAUCCUUUUUCCUCGAAUCCCUGCCGAGUUUCUCGAAUCUUGAAUCAAAGAAAGCCGACCGAAACCCUAACUGCUCCAAAUCUCCCCAAAUUCACACCCUGAGAUGCUUAUCCCUAUCUGAAUCCCAAACCACCAUUAGCCCCUUUCGAAUCAGCCCCGAGUCCCUCGAAUUUCAAAUCUCAAGACCCCGGAAGAACCUUAAGUUUCUUUCUUCACUUUUUUUGGGGGGGUUAUAUUUGGUCGGAUGGACUUAAAACCUUCAUUAAUCGACUGUUUUGGUUAAAAACAGUCGAUUAAUGUUGGUCAAAGUCCAUAUUACACUUCAAAAUAGUUGGACAAACUCGUGUUUUGAUUCAGCUUUGAUUUCAAUCAGGUAAAAUCCUUUUCUGUUCUUUUGAUUGCUUAAUUUUGGUUUUUGUUUCUUCUAUGCAUGUUUUUAUUUUUCAUUUAUGUUUUAGCAGCAUGUUAGGUUUCUUCUCUUUUCCCUCUGAUUUGUUAAUUAUUCUGUCCAUCCGUUUGGUUAAAGCAUGUUUAGGCUCGUUUAGGAUUCCUAUUGAAUUUUUGCCUUAUUUUUAUUGCAUUGAUCCCUCUUUGCAUGUCUGAAUAUUUUUUUCCUUUGCUUUGGCAGCAUGUUUUAGGAACUUUUAGUCUUGGUUUUUCCUUUCUUCCACCUAGUUUGUUAAUUACUUCUUAAUCAAAUCAUGUUUAAGUCAGCAAAAAUGCAUAAUUUCUGGUUAGGUUAGUUGUCGUUACAUUAUCAUGUCUGCUUCCUCAAUUCAUACCACUACUGCUAUCAGUGUUGGUCCAAGUUUAGCUCUCAUUUAGGUUUAAUUAAAUUAACUUUUUCAUUUUAAUGAUUAAUUAGUUUUGGAUUAUAUGGUCAUGCUCGAUAGUUUUUGUCAUUUCAAUUCAAAUCCUUGGGUCAUUUCUUUGUGUUUCUGCUUCUAUUGGUUUGGAUCUGGAAAUCAAUAGAACCUUAGGGGCCUUAGUUGAACUAGAAAGUCUAGGUAACACCUGAAAUAAUUGAUAACCUAAGGGGUAAAAUUGGACUUUCACUUAGGCUGAAAUCAGAAAGUUCUAGAACUUAGAACAGUUGUCCCUAUCCUUAGCAAAAAUGUUGAUAUUGGAUAAGAAAAAGGACAUACAGUUGUCAAAAGAUGUUGUACUAUUCUGAAAUUUCAAAAAUUAGAUCAGAAUAUUCCUUUUGAGAUGCUUUUUUUUACACUUUAUAAAAGGGAAAUAUCCCCUCACUCACAGACAGAUUUUUUGGAUCAUCAAAAAUUACGGCAAAAAACACUUCCUGCUCUAAAAGUUCAGAUUCCAGAAAAUUCUGAAAAACUCAAAAAAUCUUCUCCCAUUUUUCUGAUUCUGUGCAAGUCAAUAUAUGGUUUGAAUAGAAAAUUUUCCCUAGUUCCCUAGCUAGAUUUUCUGGUUUGAAGCUGGUUUUGGUCUUAUUUUGAGUCCCUCGGCUAUUUUGGUUUUGUUGUAGCUGUUGUGCUGCUGAUAUCCUUGAGAUUCUCCAGAAUCCGUUCUUCUACCUUUCUUUGUUGAGUCCUUACUAUUCCAAGUACUACUUAGAUCCCAAUGUAGUUUCCUUGUACAUGAAUUUAUGAAAAAAUGGCAAACUUUUGCAAAUGAAUGUGCAAUGAAUGGUUCUUUGAAUAUUGUUUGAUUAGUCUUUGCUUUUAGAUAGUGUAACGGCCAGUAUUAACAUGAGCAAUGUUUUUAUUCAAUAACUUGCUUUAUAUUGUAUUGAAAUAGUGUGAAAAAAUGAUAUUAAGGCUGAAUAUCAGUAGCUUUGAUUCAUACUAGAACAUUUAGUCAAGAAUGUUGACCAUGUUUCUGUAGGUAACAUUUCUUUUUUUCUCCAUCUGAUCUCCUUACUUGAAACCCUUUUUUUUUUCUUUUCACUUGGUAAUGAGCUAUAACCUGUUGGUUCACCCACCACUUGGCUGGAUCAAUUGGAUUUCAAAGCUUUAAGGUGGGAUCUACAUGUUAAGGAAAGAAGAUGAGGCUGCUAUGGACAAGUCAUGUUCAAAAGGAGCAAAGGUCUUUCUGUUAAUAUACAAAUUUGUAAUAGCUUAGUAUUAGAUUAGUUUUACCCUUUUACAUACUUGUUUCAGCCAAUGGCAUGAAUUUUAACAGUAAAGAAAGGCUUUCUUUUUUUAUGUAAAGUUUGUCAUUCAAUGCUAAGGAUUAUGUAACAUUGGGACUGUCUAGACAUUGAAUCGAAACUUAUGUUUCACAGGCUAGGCUGCAAUUAAUGAGCUUAAGUGUGUGUUUUUAGUAAGUUUAAUGUACAGUUCUGAAAAUGGUUGUCCUUGAAAUUAAUUUGCUUUCUGUUGUAAUUUUGGGGAUCCGAAUGUUUGGUUUAGGCUUGGAUAAGUUCAAGCUGAAGCAGCCUUUUGAAAGUCACAUUUGGGGCUACCCUUGGUCUGAAGCUCACUCUUUGCCUUUAGGGCCAAUUCAGGCCCAAGUGGUUCUGUGAGCUUAAGUCCCAUUUCCUCAAGCUUUAAUGAAUGUUCCUUUGUUUAGGGUUGGGCUAGGUUUGGUUUUAGCAAGCUAUGUCUUUUAAUUUCUUAUUGUAUGUUCUCAUGAAUAAGCAGUUAUACCUUUUGAGUCUAGCCAUGAAUAGCUUAUGAAUGCAAACAACAUCAUUAUGAUUUGUCUUUAAUUGUAUGGUUAUAAAUUUGAAUCUUUUAAUCUGGGCAAAGAAGCUCAUUGUAGUUCUUGGUUCAUGCAUACCAAGGUAUAAAAAAUGCAACGAAGUAGACUGGCCAGCCUGUGUCAAUGCACAAUUGGGCUCGUUUAAAAUCCAAGCCCAACGUGAGGUUUUCUUCCAUCAGUGCCUAUUUUGAGUCCUAGGAUUUCUGAUUUCUGGGUCAUUUCGCGUGCCCCCAAAUUAGUUUAAGAUUGUCGAAUUCCCUAGCUGAAUGACCAAUGGGCCAUCCUUGGCUCAAUCCCUUCAAGAGAAUUAAUUUUGAGCCCAACCUUUUUCCUUUUUUUAGGUUUCCUUAACUUGGAUUCCAAUUGAUCUCCUUAGUUUCAACUUAGUAAAAUGCAAACCCCUUGAAGUAAAAAUAGUUUGGGGUGUGCCAUAUACAGUUAUAAUCCUUUAAUUAUGGCCCUCAUGUAAAUAAAUUAAUUUAGAAAUGCCUUGAAUAAUCGUAGUUUGCUUUAUGCUCGAUUUAGGCUAGUAUUGUGAGUAUGUAUAUGUUCGCGUAACAUAAUUGUAAUUUUAAUUCUAAAAUAAAUCGAGGUAUGCGUUCGCGCAACAUCGACGAAACUUUCUUAAUAAAUCAAGAAAAGCAUUAUUAAUCAUGGACACGUUCGCGUGACAUGAUUUUGACGCGCUAAAAGAAAAGAGUAUACGUACGCGUAACUCAAUUCUUUAAUUACGAAUAAUUCAAGUGAUUUAAAAGUGGUAAAGAGAUAAAUGUACAUAGGUCCUAAAAUGAGUAGUUAAAUAAUUUAAGACAAGUAUAAAUUUCUAAGCGACCGUGCUAGAACCACGGAACCCGGGAAUGCCUAACACCUUCUCCCGGGUUAAAAAAAUUCCUUUCUUAGAAUUUCUAAUUUGCCGACUUCGAAAAGGAAAGUCGAAAUUUCCUCGAUUUGGGAUUUAAAAUAAACCGGUGACUUGAGACACCAAAUAAAAUAUUCCAAGUGGCGACUCUGAAAUAAAUUAAAUAAUACCAUAUCGAAUAAUGUCACUUUCGGGUGUGUAAAAAGGAGGUGUGACACCAAUGCCCCAAUAGUGUUCAUGCAUUUGAUGAACAACGUGUUCCGACCUUAUCUUGAUUCGUUUGUCAUAGUCUUCAUUGAUGAUAUUCUGGUGUAUUCGCAUAGUCAGGAGGAGCACGCGGAGCAUUUGAGAGUUGUGUUGUAGAGAUUGAGGGAGGAGAAGCUUUAUGAAAAAUUAUCCAAGUGUGAGUUUUGGCUCCGUUCAGUGGCUUUCUUGGGACACGUGGUGUCUAGCGAUGGUAUUAAGGUUGAUCCGAAGAAGAUAGAGGCGGUUCAGAGUUGGCCUAGACCGUCCUCAGCCACAGAGAUUCGCAGCUUUCUUGUUUGGGAGGCUAUUAUCGCCGGUUUGUUCAGGGAUUCUCAUCUAUCGCAUCACCCUUGACCAAGUUGACUCAGAAGGGUGCUUCAUUCGUAUGGUUGGACGAGUGUGGGGAGAGCUUUCAGAAGCUCAAGACAGCUUUGACCACAACUCCAAUGUUAGUUUUGCCAUCAGCUUCAGGUUCAUAUACCGUGUAUUGUGAUGCUUUAAGAGUUGUUAUUGGUUGUGUAUUGAUGCAGGAGGGUAGAGUUAUUGCUUAUGCUUCUCGUUAGUUAAAUACCCAUGAGAAGAAUUACCCUAUUCAUGAUUUGCAGUUGGUUGACAUAGUUCACGCGUUGAAGAUUUGGAGGCAUUACCUGUAUGGCGUAUCUUGUGAGGUGUUCACUGAUCAUCGCAGUCUUCAGCAUUUGUUCAAGCAAAAAGAUCUUAAUUUGAGGCAGCGGAGAUGGUUGGAGUUGCUUAAGGAUUAUGAUAUCACUAUAUUAUACCAUCCGGGAAAGGCCAAUGUAGUGGCCGAUGCCUUGAGCCGAAAGGCGGUGAGUAUGGGGAGUUUGGCAUAUGUUCCAGUUGAGGAGAGACCUCUUGCAGUUGAUGUUCAUGCCUUGGCCAAUCGGUUCGUAAGGUUAGAUAUUUCGGACCCUAGUCGGGUAUUGGCUUGUGUGGUUUCUCGGUCUUUCUUAUAUGAUCGCAUCAGAGAGUGCCAGUGUGAUGAUCCGCAUUUGCUUGUCCUUAAGGACAGAGUUCAGCAUGAUGAUGCUAGAGAUAUGACCAUUGGAGAUGAUGGGGUGUUGAGGAUGCAGGGCCGGAUUUGUGUGCCCAAUGUGGAUGGGCUUCGGGAGUUGAUUUUGGAGGAGGCCCAUAGCUCGCGGUAUUCUAUUUAUCCGAGUGCCGCGAAGAUGUAUCAGGAUUUGGGGUAGCACUAUUGGUGGAGAAGAAUGAAGAAAGACAUUGUGGGAUUUAUAGCUCGGUGUCUCAAUUAUCAACAGGUGAAAUAUGAGCAUCAGAGAUCGGGUGGCUUGCUUCAACAUAUGGUUAUUCCCGAGUGGAAGUGGGAGAGGAUCACUAUGGACUUUGUUGUUGGACUUCCACGGACUUUGAGAAAGUUCGAUGCUAUUUGGGUGAUAGUGGAUCGGCUGACCAAGUCCGCGCACUUUAUUCCUGUAUGUACUACCUAUUCUUCAGAGUGGUUGGUAGAGAUCUAUAUUCGGGAGAUUGUUCGUUUGCAUGGUGUCCCAGUUUCCAUCAUUUCAGAUAAGGGCACUCAGUUUACUUCGCAAUUUUGGAGAUCUGUGCAGCGAGAGUUGGGUACUCAGGUUGAGUUGAGCAUAGUUUUUCAUCCUCAGACGGGCAGGCAGUCUAAGCAUGUUAUUCAGAUAUUGGAGGACAUAUUGCAUGCUUGUUGUCACACCUCCUUUUUUACUUACACCCCAUAAAGGGCGUAAAUAUAAGGUAGUUUUUCCAAUUAAAGGACAAUCGAAAUGGGAUUGUUUAUUUAUUAAAAAUCAAAGUCGCCAUUUGGGAUAAUUUAUGAUGUCCCAAGUCACCAGUUUAAAUCCCGAAUCGAGGAAAACUGACUCUAUUUACGGUUUGCGAACAUGAAAAUCCGAGUAAGAAAUUCUGUUAACCCGGGAGAAGGUGUUAGGCACUCGCGAGUUCCGUAGUUCUAGCACGGUCGCUUUGAUCAUACUUGGCUUAUUAAAUUGUUUAAUUACUCAUUUUAGAUCCUAUGUGCAUUUACCCUAACCGCUUUUAAAAUUAAGAAAAUUAUCUUGAAACGAGUCACGCGUACGUGUACCCAUAUGUUUGGCGCGUCAAAAAUCAUGUCACGCAAAGGUGUCCACAAUUAAGAACGCUUUGUUAUUAUUAAGAAGAGUUUGGCCGAAGUUGCGCGAACGCAUACUCCGAUUUAUUUUCUGGGGAAUCAUAACUAUAUCACGCGAACAUGUCCACAACCACGAUAAUAGAUUUAGUCGCCCAUAGAGCAUUUUCUAUGAUGUUCAUAAUUUAUUCAACUUUUAAACCCAAACCAACUAUUAUCUUGUUCAAGUCAUUGGAGUCUUUAAUCCAACAAACUAAUUCAAAGAACCAUUCAAGCGACAUUACGAAACAAACAACUUCAAACAAAUAAACAGUCAAGUCUCAUUAGAGAAUUCAACAAAUGAACUAAUUUUCGAAAGCAAGUAUAGACUAAUGAACCAUGUAUUUCACUCAAAUCUUCACUCAAAGGUUCAGGGGCAGAUUCAACAAAAUUCCAACAUAUAUUAGUUUGACUAACGAAUCACAGUCAUCCAAAUACCACAAAGAUCAAGUAAAGUAAGCUUUAAACUAAACUUUAUAUUAAUUGGAACAAAUUCUGAAUAAACUAAUCACUAUUUAUACCUUUUUUCUCAAUAUGAUAAUAUAUUUUACUUAUUCAUUUUUAACUGUUCAACGUCCAAAGUUAACGUACCACUUAUUUGCCACAGUGCCAUAUAUACUAGGAAAAUUGACUCCUAAAAUUCUUUGAUAUCAUGUGGAAACUUCUUUUCAUUUGAGGCCACCAUAAGUCACCAAUUGGAAUUUUUGCACAAUAAUUCAAGUAUUAUUAUAACGUUUUGAAGACGUACCAAACAGAAACAAUGUUUAUUGUUUUGUCACUGCCGCUGACGGUAGGGCACUGCACCAUUUCCAUUUUUGUCACCUUUCUCCUACAACUAAUGGACUUCCAAGCAGAGACCAAAUAGAAUUGUCGAAUUCUAAUACAGAAUCGUGAAGCUCCACGGAAACCUCAGGCUACGACCUCUGAUGAACUCGGAACUCGCCGGAAAACUUGAAUCACACAAAAACUCGCCGCGACCCGGAUCUCUUGCCUUUCAUUUCAUUUCGUUUCUAGCUUUUACGUUGUGUAUUCUAUUUCUUUUUCCAAACUUCCAGAAAUCUGUCCAUUUAUGUCUGUGUGUGCGUGUGUUUGGGCGUUGGAAGGACAGCAAAGUGAGGGAGAGAGAAAUGGGAACGAGGUGAGAACAAUAGUCGCCGGUGGAGCCGGCUAACGUUGGUUGUUGCUGGUUUUGUUUUUUGAGAGGGAGGUCUUGUAUGUAACGGCUGAUAGUUGCUGCUCUUGUUUCUGGUCAAGAUUUUUUAGAGCUUCAUGAAGAAGAAGCUCAUGGGGGUCUGUCCCUUAUGCGGCUGUAAGUUUUGUAGGGUUUUUUAUUUUUUGUUCAAGAAGAGGGCCUUCAUGUACCGGGGGGUCGUUUUUGUUCAGCAGCUCAUUCCCAAACUUAAGCAUUGGGUCCCCUUUGAAGAAGAUGACUGAAGCUCUUCUGUAUUCUCUAAAAUCAGAAAACGGAUUUAUC
rnacentral:lncRNA from 1 species